AUACGUAGGGGGCGAGCGUUGUCCGGAAUUACUGGGCGUAAAGAGCGCGUAGGCGGCUCUGCAAGUCGCUUGUGAAAGCCCCAGGCUUAACCUGGGGAUUGCAGGCGAAACUGCGGAGCUUGAGUGCGGUAGAGGAAAGUGGAAUUCCUAGUGUAGCGGUAAAAUGCGCAGAUAUUAGGAGGAACACCAGUGGCGAAGGCGACUUUCUGGGCCGCAACUGACGCUGAGGCGCGAAAGCGUGGGGAGC
rnacentral:rRNA from 1 species